UACGAAGGGAGCUAGCGUUGUUCGGAAUCACUGGGCGUAAAGCGCACGUAGGCGGAUGUGUCAGUCAGGGGUGAAAUCCCGGAGCUCAACUUCGGAACUGCCCUUGAUACAGCACGUCUUGAGUCCGGAAGAGGUGGGUGGAAUUCCUAGUGUAGAGGUGAAAUUCGUAGAUAUUAGGAAGAACACCGGUGGCGAAGGCGGCCCACUGGGCCGGUACUGACGCUGAGGUGCGAAAGCGUGGGGAGCAAACAGG
rnacentral:rRNA from 1 species